AAAACGCAUAUGAAAUACACAGAUAGAGUGCAAAGGUCAAGAUUAACGCUCGUAAACAUUUAAUCUUAUCGCAAGAAGGCUUGACACUUUUAAGGGCUGACACAUUCGGGCCUGAGUCCAAACGGAAUAUUCGAUUAAAAUAGACGGUCAGUUAUAAACGAAGGAUUGAAAAGUGGCGCACAUUAACCUGGUGCAUCGUGACUUUCACACGAACAUAGAUAGAUAUGUAUAUGCAAGGAUAUUAUAUUAUACGAAGAAGACACUUGCAAAGUUGCAACCAUGCUUGAACGAUAAAAUAGUAACAGGAACAGGUGACUCGCGAACGCGUUCGUACAUUGGCACUUUUCUCCCCAAAAACCGCGAGUGAAGGGUUAAAUUUGCUACUCGUUCGCACGCAUCGGCGGAUCGUUAAAAUUGACGCGUGGGCGUGGAACGUUAAUUGCAACAAGCGCGUGGUUCGAGAGGCGACGAGUGUAGUCAGCCGAGGACCCACCUACUGACCUACACACGUGCAAAAAGACCGCCACCACUCGUUCGUGCCUCCCUGCGUGUCUCGGGUUUAUUUGCGUUUCAUUGUAAUCCGAGUUCAUUCUCCUUUUGCUCUCUUUCGCGCCCCUGUCUCCGGUCGCCUCGCGUGCCAAUGAAUGGACCACAAGUGCAUGCGUGUGCGCGCCGAUCGGAUCCGCGAGACGAUUCAUUUCCGCCUGGAUGAUCGAAACGAAUUUGGAAAGAUGCGCGGAGAUACGGUUUUAGAUUUAAUAGAUGAUUCACUAAAAUUGAGGCGAACAUCGAGAAUACACGAGUUAUCAUGCUUUCGAUUUUGUUUUUUUUUUAGGUAUUGAUCAUCCUUGAAGAAUGACAAGUUUCCUGUUUUGCAUUUAAAAGGAAUAUGGAAAAUUCUGAGAUACUUAUUAUAAUAUAGUAAAGAUAGAUUAGAAAAAUAAAAAUGAAGGGAAAUAUCCGUGAAAUCAGUAAUAUUUUUUUCUAUUUUUAACUUCUUUUAUUGAACAAUUAUGCAAAAUAAUUGUUGAACAUCUAUAACCGAAUAUUUUGUACAUUAUCUCAUAAAUAUAGGAAAAUUAGGAAAACGAUGUUUAAUAAACGAAUUACGAAAGUUAGACGAAAGUUAGUUAUAAAAUUAAAACGAAACUUUAUUGUCAAAACGUAAUGCAAUUUCAUGUCAUGAUAAACUAUUAUGCACUAGUUGCGAUUUUUUUUUAUUUUGAAACGUCUAAAACAGCAUUACUCUAACAAUCUAAUAUAUAAAAUAUAAAUAAAUUUAUUCGCACGAUUACGUCUCUCUCGGCUGUCUAUUGCGAAUUUCUCAAUCGUUUUAAACGAUUAAAAAAAAUAUUUACUUUUCUUCCUACAAUGUGCACACAUUGUACAUAUCGAAAUCUCGAAAUAAAUGAUAUUGCCUAAGAGGGGCACAGUUAGUUGAACCUUGACGGUUCAAUGAAUCUCGUCUCGGAUCCAAAUAUAGAAUAUGCCACUGUUAAUUUCGAGUAACAAGUGGUCAGAUGAAACAAGAUUGGGCAUCGAUACAAAUUCGUAUCGAUGCGAACAACGGAGUAUUUUAUUGGAUAAUAGAGGGGAAAAAGGCGCAGUUGGAAGCGUUUUCCCUCGUGCACGCGAUUAAAUGAAACACAGGAAUAACCUAUAUCGGAAAAUAAGAGAAAACGACAAGUAGAAAAGUGUCGGCCGGAUAUUUGCUAUCGCAAAUUACACGAUCGUUUGUGAAUUUUAUUUGAUCCCUCUCGCAUGGCGUGAAGACAAAAGGAUGUCGAUUGAUAUUCCUCCUGUGCACGAUAUAUCGACGUUAAUCAAAUAAAACGAAACCAACAGCAUCGUGGAACGAACACGAACACGAACACGUUAUUAACACUCUGUCUAUAUUAAAUUGUCCAUCCAACGAUAAGUCUUCGUUAUUUGAUCGUCCUACCGCACGAUCCUAUUAAAGCUUUAACACCAUUACCUAACCGUCUGUUUACUUGUUACUCUCCUUUCUGAGAAACCUGUAGAGAAAGAAUCCUAAAUCUAAAAAGCGCAUUUUUCAGUUUACAAACAUUGUUGUUCACGAUACCGUAAUCUCGAAAUCACGAGUCGCAUUUCGAGCCAGAAGUCGGAAGCCUUGUCGAACAAAACAAGAGGUUUUCCUGGGAAUUAGUGAUCGAGUAUUAGGCGCCGACGUGGAGAUAUCGGUCAAAACCUUGACCAGGUGAUUUUUUUUUUGAAUUAUCAAUACUAAAUUGAAACUUGGAAUGGAAAAAUUUGAGUAUCGUUGUACUACGUAAUCAGAAUCUUUAAGUUCUUCAAACUUUUUUUUCAAACUUGAUCUUCUCUUCAUUUUAUGAAAUUUGUCAGUCAGCCAAUAAGCUUUCCGAUGAUUUAACUCGAUUGCAUCAUCUUCGCAUAAAUUUAAAAUUAGAAUGAUAUUAGAGAAGAGAUAUUACAAGUUAUUAUAGAUUUCCUUUUUUACAAUUUUUAUGAUUUAUAAUUUGUGAUUUAUUUAUAUUUUAUAUAUUAUUUACUAAUAAUAUUAAUCUAUAAUUAUUCAACAGAAUAUAUCAAUGAGAUCAUUUAUUAUUCAAAAGUUGGUUGUAAUAUUAUCAUUUUUAUCAAAUCACUUUUAUCUAUUUUACUUUACACGUGUACUAUCUAUUCUAUAUCUUCUUUUCAAACGAGUUCUUUCUAAUUAAGCAAAAAAAAAAAAAAUUACUCAAUCUUAAUUAAAAGCUAAACAGACUUUUUCAUGCGAAAAAGAUUUAUCUCCCUUCCAUUUCCCACGUUUGCCCAUUUAAUUUCGUACGUCGAAAUAUAUCAAAGUGAAACAUGCACGAAUAUAUGCAAAAAUAUGUAAAAAGUUAAAAAUAAAGUUAUAAAGUGUCUAGAACAGGCUUCAAAUAAUCCCACGACGAAAUCGUAUUUGCAUUCAUGGAGUGGAAAGACCGAGAAACCGGUCGAAUGGGUUGCUAGGAUUCACCCGAUAUCUAUCAUGGAUACAAGAAUAUUUUCAACCUCGAAGAUGGAUAACAAAAAAUCAAAUCCGGGAUCUCAUUCAUCUGCCACGAAUUCUCCCAGAUUUCGAGCUGGCAUCGCGCCGAAGGUCGACGUACGUCGGAGAAACAAAAUUCUGAAAUUCUAUAAAACGGCGGAGAGAUGCGUGAAAAGUGAAAAUAAAUCCGUGACGCGCGAACGAUCGUCGGUGCCUUCCUACGUGUAAAAAUUCGCGAGUAUUGCUCAUUCGUAUUACCAUCCUUAAUCUUCGAGGGGAGAGGAUUGAUUGCACCACGUUGGCAAUUCCUUUCGUCUUCUUUACGGAAUAUUUCGUGUAAUUGGGAAAUCUUGUAUCGUGUAAAUUGAGUUUGGGAUUCGACUGCCAAAGUUUAACUAAUAUGAUCAUUGUGGAUUUACAACUCGCGAAGAUUGUUGGAGAUUCGUCGAGAUUAUUUUUAUUCGUAAUUAUUUAUUUGUGUAGGAAAUUCGAUGAUGAAUAUUUCCGAUCCGUUUAUUUUAAUAUGGUUGUCUAUUACGGGAAUGUAAUAGAAGUAAUUUAUGACGAGUAUAAGUUUAUGUAUUUAUGGAAAAUUUAAAUGACAAAAAUAUUAACAUAAUAUGCGUUACAUAUACGAAA